rnacentral:lncRNA from 1 species
CAAUUCAACCUUUUGUGUUUUAAUUUCGUGAGGGGAGGAGAAAAGGAAAGGAAAAGUCUAAUAAAUAGAGAAGAAGAAGGAGAAUAAGCCUUGGGGCAAAUAAAUGUGUGUUCAAAGUUUUUGAGUUGGUUGGUCUUACGUGCGGGCGGGUCUGUUUUUUCAACUUCCCCUUUCCUCUUUCUCUAUAAUCCCUUUUUCCAUGAAUUUUCCAUGAAAAUCAUCUUCUUCCUUAGUAAUUUCCACACCUUUUUUUUUUUUUUUUUGUUAAAAGUAAUUUCAUUUCUCUAUAAUCCCUUUUUCCAUGAAUUUUCCAUGAAAAUCAUCUUCUUCCUUAGUAAUUUCCCCCCCUUUUUUUUUUUUUUUUUGCUAAAAGUAAUUUCCACACCUUGUCGAAGAAGAAGACGACGACUCCAACAAUAAAGAGCAAGAAGAAAAAGAAAAAGUAGUUGAAGACGGUGACGCGUAUGAUUAUGGCCGAAGAUGAUUCUCAGUCACUUUGCUUGGUUUAUUUCUUACUCUUCGUUUUGAUCACAG